GACGAACGCUGGCGGCGUGCCUAAUACAUGCAAGUAGAACGCUGAAGAGAGGAGCUUGCUCUUCUUGGAUGAGUUGCGAACGGGUGAGUAACGCGUAGGUAACCUGCCUUGUAGCGGGGGAUAACUAUUGGAAACGAUAGCUAAUACCGCAUAACAAUGGAUGACACAUGUCAUUUAUUUGAAAGGGGCAAUUGCUCCACUACAAGAUGGACCUGCGUUGUAUUAGCUAGUAGGUGAGGUAAUGGCUCACCUAGGCGACGAUACAUAGCCGACCUGAGAGGGUGAUCGGCCACACUGGGACUGAGACACGGCCCAGACUCCUACGGGAAGCAGCAGUAGGGAAUCUUCGGCAAUGGGGGCAACCCUGACCGAGCAACGCCGCGUGAGUGAAGAAGGUUGUCGGAUCGUAAAGCUCUGUUGUAAGUCAAGAACGGGUGUGAGAGUGGAAAGUUCACACUGUGACGGUAGCUUACCAGAAAGGGACGGCUAACUACGUG
rnacentral:rRNA from 1 species